rnacentral:lncRNA from 1 species
UGCACCGCGAGCCUGUGGCCUGAUUUCUCCCCCUCCAUUGUUGUCGCUAAUACAAAAGGCUACAACUCCAGUGUGGUCACUGGGCCUGCAUUGAAUUACACGCCAGGCCAUUCUUCGGGCCGGAGCCUUUGUAGGCUGGGAUGCGUUUCCUCCCAGGGCCAGAACUCUGGGCCUCGCCAGCCUUUACGAGUUGUCUGCCUCCCUCCGCCACUUCCACCCACCUACCGCCUUUGUUCCUUUCAGCUGGCAGCCAGGCCCUCGCUUGCCUUUUGGUUGGUAUGAGAUCACUGGCGGCGGGCUUGAGCAGUCCUUCCCACCCGCUCCCCUCACUCUCAAUUAAGCACUGCGCGUAAAAUCCCAGGCCUAUUCAGUCAUCUCUUCUUAUCUCUUUCUCAACCAUCCCCCCAACACCCAUCCCUCUCUCUCAAGUUUCUAAGGCUGCCGUUGCUAGGGAACUCAAACCUGAGGGCUGAAGGGAGGUUUUCUAAGGUGUCUGCCAAACUCCCAAAACUCAGAGGGCGGAGGCAGCACAAAGUCUUUGGGAUUCCCCAAACGCUGAAGAGAGUUACAUGUAACUCACCACCCUCUACCCCAUAUCCUUGUGUUCAGCAUCAUGUUUGGAUUCCGGGAAAUUCAGUGGUGAAGUGGGAAAAGAGAUUUCAAAUCACACUAAGAAGCAAUUUCUCCUAAUGUAAAAGCUGGAAGGGGUCUCCUCUCAAAGGAAAAACAUCCCAAGCUUCUGCCCUGGGUGCAAGGCAUGGAGGUACAAUAGAAAGAAGCAGAAGACUUUGUUGCAUGUUCUUCUGAUUGUGGUCCGUGGAUCAGCAGCAACAGCAUCAUCUGGGAGUUGGUUGAAACACAGAAUCUCUAGCCCUACCCAGGCCUAUUGCAGCAGAAUCUGCCUUGUAAAAAGACCCCCAAGUGAUUUUUACAUUAUUACCAGAAAUAGACUGCUCUACUCUACAACACCCCCUCUAUCAGAGAUAAUGUUCAAAAGUGGUUUGAUUAUUUUGAAAUGGCAUUUUCCUUUCUGGGGAAAAAACUAUAGAAAUCAUUGGCUACAUCGGUCAAAAAUGGCACUAGUACUCCAGUGACAGAGAACAAUGAAAUGUAGCAUGCUAUCAUUAGUGUAAGAAAAUGCCAACAGACACCUGUGAUCAAUGAGGCUUGCAUUUGUGGUAAUUUUGGGACUCCUCCAUCCACAUUCUCUUGACCCAGGCUUCCUAUGACCAAAUGUUCACUUUUGCAAGAUGGCUGAGGUUAAGAGUGCAAUCUGGCCACAGAAAGGAGAAAAGCUUGCUGACCCAUGCUGACCUCUGACCUUGACCUCAUUAGCUAACCAAAUGAGCUAACCAGCCAUGGACAUCAGAGAGCAUUAUGUGUUGAUUGAGCCGAAGCAUAAGAAGGACCAGUAAAAGAUCAGUCAUAAAGACAUUUCUACCUUGAUCACCUAUACUUAUUAAAAUGAUAUGAGGAGCACAUAUGCGAUUUCUUUUCUAUCUUCCUGCAUUUUUCACCAUUGUACAGCAGGACUUGAAGACAACAAAAGGUUCUUUUCUUUCAUAGCUCUCUACUCUUUUCCUUCAAAGUAAUUAAAUUGUAAUUAUAAAUUUAU